rnacentral:rRNA from 1 species
GAUGAACGCUAGCGGCAGGCUUAACACAUGCAAGUCGAGGGGUAACAGGGAGUGCUUGCACUCUGCUGACGACCGGCGCACGGGUGCGUAACGCGUAUGCAACCUACCUUCUACAGGGGGAUAGUCCAGAGAAAUUUGGCAUAAUACCCCAUACGAUCAUUUAUUGGCAUCGAUAGAUGAGGAAAACUCCGGUGGUAGAAGAUGGGCAUGCGUCCUAUUAGCUAGUUGGUAAGGUAACGGCUUACCAAGACAUCGAUAGGUAGGGGUCCUGAGAGGGAGAUCCCCCACACUGGUACUGAGACACGGACCAGACUCCUACGGGAGGCAGCAGUGAGGAAUAUUGGACAAUGGAGGCAACUCUGAUCCAGCCAUGCCGCGUGCAGGAAGACGGCCCUACGGGUUGUAAACUGCUUUUAUACAGGAAGAAACGCCGCUACGUGUAGCGGUUUGACGGUACUGUACGAAUAAGGAUCGGCUAACUCCGUGCCAGCAGCCGCGGUAAUACGGAGGAUCCAAGCGUUAUCCGGAAUCAUUGGGUUUAAAGGGUCCGUAGGCGGUUUUUUAAGUCAGAGGUGAAAUCCUGCAGCUCAACUGUAGCAUUGCCUUUGAUACUGAAAGACUUGAGUUAUUGUGAAGUAGUUAGAAUGUGUAGUGUAGCGGUGAAAUGCAUAGAUAUUACACAGAAUACCGAUUGCGAAGGCAGAUUACUAACAAUAUACUGACGCUGAGGGACGAAAGCGUGGGUAGCGAACAGGAUUAGAUACCCUGGUAGUCCACGCCGUAAACGAUGGAUACUAGCUGUUCGACCAACAUUGGUUGGUUGAGUGGCUAAGCGAAAGUGAUAAGUAUCCCACCUGGGGAGUACGCUCGCAAGAGUGAAACUCAAAGGAAUUGACGGGGGCCCGCACAAGCGGUGGAGCAUGUGGUUUAAUUCGAUGAUACGCGAGGAACCUUACCAGGGCUUAAAUGUAAGUUGCAUAGAUCAGAGAUGGUCUUUUCUUCGGACUACUUACAAGGUGCUGCAUGGUUGUCGUCAGCUCGUGCCGUGAGGUGUCAGGUUAAGUCCUAUAACGAGCGCAACCCCUGUCGUUAGUUGCCAGCAAGUAAAGUUGGGCACUCUAGCGAGACUGCCGGUGCAAACCGCGAGGAAGGUGGGGAUGACGUCAAAUCAUCACGGCCCUUACGUCCUGGGCUACACACGUGCUACAAUGGCCGGUACAGAGAGCAGCCACUCCGCGAGGAGGAGCGAAUCUAUAAAACCGGUCUCAGUUCGGAUCGCAGUCUGCAACUCGACUGCGUGAAGCUGGAAUCGCUAGUAAUCGGAUAUCAGCCAUGAUCCGGUGAAUACGUUCCCGGGCCU